CCUACGGGGGGCAGCAGUGGGGAAUAUUGGACAAUGGGCGAAAGCCUGAUCCAGCCAUGCCGCGUGUGUGAAGAAGGCCUUCGGGUUGUAAAGCACUUUCAGUGGGGAAGAAAGCCUUGGGGCUAAUACCCUCGAGGAAGGACAUCACCCACAGAAGAAGCACCGGCUAACUCCGUGCCAGCAGCCGCGGUAAUACGGAGGGUGCGAGCGUUAAUCGGAAUUACUGGGCGUAAAGCGCGCGUAGGCGGUCUGAUAAGCCGGUUGUGAAAGCCCCGGGCUCAACCUGGGAACGGCAUCCGGAACUGUCAGGCUAGAGUGCAGGAGAGGAAGGUAGAAUUCCCUGUGUAGCGGUGAAAUGCGUAGAGAUCGGGAGGAAUACCAGUGGCGAAGGCGGCCUUCUGGACUGACACUGACGCUGAGGUGCGAAAGCGUGGGUAGCAAACAGGAUUAGAUACCCCAGUAGUC
rnacentral:rRNA from 1 species